rnacentral:rRNA from 1 species
UACGUAGGGGGCAAGCGUUAUCCGGAUUUACUGGGUGUAAAGGGAGCGUAGACGGCAGAGCGAGUCUGAAGUGAAAGCCCGCGGCCCAACUGCGGGACUGCUUUGGAAACUGCCCGGCUAGAGUGCUGGAGAGGUAAGCGGAAUUCCUAGUGUAGCGGUGAAAUGCGUAGAUAUUAGGAGGAACACCAGUGGCGAAGGCGGCUUACUGGACAGUAACUGACGUUGAGGCUCAAAAGCGUGGGGAGCAAACAGG